UACGUAGGGUGCGAGCGUUAAUCGGAAUUACUGGGCGUAAAGCGUGCGCAGGCGGUUCGUUAAGUCAGAUGUGAAAGCCCCGAGCUCAACUUGGGAACUGCAUUUGAAACUGGCGGGCUGGAGUGUGGCAGAGGGGGGUGGAAUUCCACGUGUAGCAGUGAAAUGCGUAGAGAUGUGGAGGAACACCGAUGGCGAAGGCAGCCCCCUGGGCUAACACUGACGCUCAGGCACGAAAGCGUGGGGAGCAAACAGG
rnacentral:rRNA from 1 species